CCUUACACACAAACGGACGGGGCUCGCUUAUCCAUCAAGGGUUAGGGAGACGCACGUUCUUCUCUCUCGCAAUGACGAGGACAGGCUGACAGGAGGAAUUCAUCAGGCUGCUUGGAUGGCUUUUCUAUUCUUUGCGAUUUUCCUCCUUAAUUGGGUAAGACUAAAAGAACAUUAUAAUAAGGUAAUUAUCAGGACCGCCAUCGACAUUGCGCGAAUAGGGAGAAGGGCUAGUCAGCUGUUCAGAGAUUCUUAUUUUCCAAAAUACCUUAUUAUUAAUUUGGCUUAGGGCUCGGUAGGACUUGAUCACCCCUUAACGCUCACUCAAAAAGGAUAUACUUGUUUUAUGAUUUUAUAUUUGUAACUAUUUCCAUUUCUUUUCAUUUUUGUGAUUAUUAUUAUUAUCUACUCUAUUACAUACCCUUGCUGUCAUAUUACUAUUAUGUCUUUUAAUAAUUGUUAAAUAUAUUGUAGAAGUUCUCAUUUAUUUGCUUAGCUUGCAUUAGUACGAUGGACGAUUUUGAUAAACGAAGAUGUCUCGCCUUCAAGAAGAUGACUCAGCAGGAAUCAUCAGAGAGAAGGACGUGGCCGGGACGUGUUGGUGCCAUGUUUUCACCUUGAAACCCUCCCCUUAGUACGUUAUGUCUUGUAAACUUAGAAACCUCCCUAUUUUCAAAUAAAUGCAGGAGCGACGGGAGAGAUUGUUUAGAGCGUGUUGAGAGGCUGUAAUCUGAACAAUCUCCCAUGCGCCCUCCUCAUGAGAAAAAGAAACCAGCGUCUUCAUUCCUUUUGUGUCUAUUUUCUAUAAUGUUGGGUAAGAUAAAUCCAACAUUAAAUUGGUCCUUCGAGCCGGAUGUCAACACACCCGAGGAUUCCAGUUGUGGAGCCGACAUCCAGUUAAGAGACCGUGGCCACGGCAAUUGAGACCCUUUCCGGGGACUGGUCUUCGUUCUCCUCCACUGGGAUCUGAAGGUUGACAACAAUCCACAGGAUUUUUUUCGGAAAAAGGACGGCGGACUCCGACAAAUUCUGGGAGGACGGCGGAGUCCUUAAACUUCAAGUGGGAGUGGCAAUGAGCAGCUUGAAGCGAUUCAACCGAACGACAGCAGGUAUCUUGAAAAACUUGUAAGUUGAGUCACUCGUAUCGCAAGGCACCGCUGUAGCUGUUUAGCUUCCCUGUGGAGAAUUCUCAUACUUUUUUUCUAUGAUGUAAUUUUCCAAAUACAGGUACUACAUAUAAAAAUGUAGAUCCUUCCUACUUUUUGGAGAAAGCGUUUCAAUUAAAGCUGAAAGGCUACACUUCAAUCAGAUCUUUAUGGAAGAUAUCAUCAUCCAAAUACUUACGAUGGACCGCCCGGUAAAAUAUAUAUAUGUGUGUGUGUAGGUGUGUGCGCGUGUGUGUGAGCAGACACAUCAUACACCAAGUCAAGGGGGGGGGGGCGGAAGAUGUAGCCUGUUAGUGUAAGUGUUGACCAAGAGAAACUUAUCAUCUCAAUAAUAUAGCAAUGACAGCACACAUUGUUACAGCAAUAAUACAAACGAAGGAGAAAAAUUCAAGUGGUGAUGUCAUAACACUGACGUUUACAAGAGUGCGCCGUCCAAGUGGCUCCGGAAUGAAUGGGUUGGAAUCGGACACACCUGACCUCCUCUCUAUGUACAUGUCGUUCCUAUGGGACAUCGCCAUGAUCAUCCGUCUUCACUGCCGCUUGUUUGCAUUCCAGCCGAUCCCAGCUGACACCCGCCAGUCACACCUACGGACAAUUUAAAGAGUCUCCAAUAAACCUCCUGUGCAUGUUUUUUGGAAUGUGGAAGGAAGCCGGCGUACCCGGAGAAAACCCACACAAGCACGUGAAGGACACACCGGAAAGGUGGAGCAGCUAUCGAACCCCGAACUUCGGAAAUAGCUGUCCGCCGUGCCGAUGGAUGCUUCCGAUUCAGGAGUCUCGUCGUCGGAUGCACGCGGUUCCAAGAUCAACAUCUCACUCUCGAUCUGCUCGGUGAGGAUCUGCUCCUCUUGCUGCAUGGCAAGCUGCUGCUGCUCGCUCAGAGCGGCCUCAGCGGGUUCCUCGCCUCCCGCGCUCUCGCCGUCCGCCACCGGGGGCGCCUUGGGGCUGUGCGACGGCGACUCCAAACUCUCGAUCUGCUCGGUGAGGAUCUGCUCCUCUUGCUGCAUGGCAAGCUGCUGCUGCUCGCUCAGAGCGGCCUCAGCGGUUCUUCAAGAACUUCCAAGUUGCUCAGUCGAUUUUUUUGUUUUAUGUUGUGAAAUAAAUGCUCCUGCACAAGAUUUUUCUCAUGUAAAACCUUGGCUAGAUCUGUGCCUUGCCACAAUUCUGUCUCUGAGCUCUUCAGGCAGUUCCUUUGACCUCAUGAUUCUCAUUUGCUCUGACAUGCACUGUGAGCUGUAAGGUCUUAUAUAGACAGAUGUGUGGCUUUCCUAAUCAAGUCCAAUCAGUAUAAUCAAACACAGCUGGACUCUAAUGACGGUGUAGAACCAUUUUAUGGAUGAUCAGAAGAAAUGGACAGCACCCAAGUUAAAUAUAUGAGUGUCACAACAAAGGGUCUGAAUACUUAUGGCUGUGUCAUAUUUCAGUUUUUCCUUUUUAAUAAAUCAGCAAAAAUAUCAACAAUUAUGUUUUUCUUUCUGUCAAUAUGGGGUGCUGUGUGUACAUUCAUGAGGAAAAAAAAAAAUAAUGAUUUUAACAAAUAGAUGCAAUAUAACAAAGAGUGAAAUAUUUAAGGGGGUCUGAAAACUUUCCGUACCCACUGUAUAUGCCUCAAUUGAGUUUUUGCCCCCUGGACAUAAGUGUGACGUCAAGGUGAAAAGGUCUAUCGGUGUACCUAAUAUUGGUUAUCCAUUUAGGUGUUUUUGGGCUUACAAACAGGCAGACGGGACAAGUGUUGAGACAGGACGGGACAGACAAUGGUGGUGGUGACAGGCAGGGCAUGUGGAGGAAGGGGCAUACAUACCGGGGUGGCAGUGCGGGCUAUGCUCAUAAACCUAACAGCGAUUAGUACAGGUUUCUGGAAGGAGGGGAUUGGGUAGGAAGGGAGGACAAAUUGGGGUUAAGGAGGGUUGAGGACUACAGCUACAGCCUCCUCAAGUGUAUUCCCAUUAUUCAAAUACAGCUCGCAAGUCAUAAUCCAUUUCAUAUAGUUGAAGCUCCUGUCUCAUGCAAAUGAGCAACUGCUCAACCCGCCUCCUCCUACUGCCAAGUGUGCCAAUGCGAGAACGGCUUUUCACUCGUGGAGGCAGCACUUCAAUGAUAACACUGAGAGUUUUGUUGUUUUUACUAUUAACACUUUUAAUGGAAGCUAAGAAAGCUAAAA